rnacentral:tRNA from 4 species
GCCGGCUUAGCUCAGCAGGCAGAGCAACCGCCUUGUAAGCGGUAGGUCCCCGGUUCGAUUCCGGGAGCCGGCACCA